GACGAACGCUGGCGGCGUGCUUAACACAUGCAAGUCGAACGCUGAAGCUCAGCUUUUGUUGGGUGGAUGAGUGGCGAACGGGUGAGUAACACGUGUGUAACCUGCCCCCUUCUUUGGGAUAACGCCCGGAAACGGGUGCUAAUACUGGAUAUUCACUGGUCUUCGCAUGGGGGUUGGUGGAAAGGGUUUUUCUGGUGGGGGAUGGGCUCGCGGCCUAUCAGCUUGUUGGUGGGGUGAUGGCCUACCAAGGCUUUGACGGGUAGCCGGCCUGAGAGGGUGACCGGUCACAUUGGGACUGAGAUACGGCCCAGACUCCUACGGGAGGCAGCAGUGGGGAAUAUUGCACAAUGGGCGCAAGCCUGAUGCAGCGACGCCGCGUGAGGGAUGGAGGCCUUCGGGUUGUGAACCUCUUUCGCUCAUGGUCAAGCCGCAACAAUGGUUGUGGUGAGGGUAGUGGGUAAAGAAGCGCCGGCUAACUACGUG
rnacentral:rRNA from 1 species